UACGAAGGGGGCUAGCGUUGCUCGGAAUUACUGGGCGUAAAGCGUGCGCAGGCGGCUUUGUAAGUCAGAUGUGAAAUCCCCGGGCUUAACCUGGGAACUGCGUUUGAAACUACAAGGCUAGAGUGUGGCAGAGGGGGGUGGGAAUUCCACGUGUAGCAGUGAAAUGCGUAGAGAUGUGGAGGAACACCGAUGGCGAAGGCAGCCCCCUGGGUUAACACUGACGCUCAGGCACGAAAGCGUGGGGAGCAAACAGG
rnacentral:rRNA from 1 species